rnacentral:tRNA from 1 species
UGGCUCAGCAGUUAAGAGCACUGGCUGAUCUUCCAGUGGGCCUGGGUUCAAUUCCCAG